ACUUAAAUAGCUUAUUUAGAGCAUAAUAUUGAAGAUAUUAAGGUAAUUAUUUAUUUUUAGGUA
rnacentral:tRNA from 1 species